AUGACCCCAGUGGAUAGGGGAGUGUUAGUGCCAGGUGAAGGUGAUAACAGGAAGCAGGAAAGGAUGGCAACCUUCUCAGUGGGCAGCUGUGACUCUGUCUCAGGUGUUUGCGGUGACAUUGUGAUGACCCAGUCACCAGCCUCCCUGGCAGUUUCUGCUGGAGAGAGUGCCACCAUCCGCUGCAAGUCCAACCAGAGUCUUCUAUACAGUGGUAAUAACAAGAAAUUUUUAAGCUGGUACCAGCAGAAACAAGGACAACCUCCUAAACUGCUCAUCUACUAUGCAUCCACCCGGGUAUCUGGGGUCCCAGAUAGUUUCAGUGGCAGUGGAUCUGGCAUGCAUUUCACUCUCACCAUCAGCAGGAUGCAGGAUAAAGACUUUGCAGAAUAUUACUGCCAGCAGGGUAUUACUACUCCUUCCACAGUGAUUCAGCCUCGAACAUAAAGCUCCUCUCAGGGUCUCCCCGGCUGCUUGCACUUCAUCUGGCCCAGGGUUGAACACUUUCUCCUGCUCCCUGAGAGACUGUAUCAGAGGAAGACUGCAGAGCUGAGUAGAAGAUAAAGAGAAUCCAGGUCUCCUCGAUUCUUUAUUAUAAGA